rnacentral:rRNA from 1 species
CGGGUGAGUAACACGUGGAUAACCUACCUAUAAGACUGGGAUAACUUCGGGAAACCGGAGCUAAUACCGGAUAAUAUUUUAAACCGCAUGGUUCAAAAGUGAAAGACGGUCUUGCUGUCACUUAUAGAUGGAUCCGCGCUGCAUUAGCUAGUUGGUAAGGUAAUGGCUUACCAAGGCAACGAUGCAUAGCCGACCUGAGAGGGUGAUCGGCCACACUGGAACUGAGACACGGUCCAG